GCUUUCUACCCCGCAGUCCCAGGGUAUCGCAAGCCGUCCCUCACACCCCACCUCCAGCAACGCCCUCUCGCCCUGUCUCCCCCACCUUCACUGUGAGCUGCAGCCCCCAUGUCCCUGCCGUCCCCCUCACCCUCCCGGGAGCUGUGCCCACCUGACCCGGCAUUUGCGCCUUUGUCUUCGUGGCCCGGAAGUGGCCCCGCCGGCGGAAGCACGAGAAGUGGCCACGUGCUGUACAGCGGCUGGCUGAGGAAGUCGCCCCCCGAGAAGAAGCUGAGGCUCUUUGCCUGGAGGAAACGCUGGUUUAUCCUGCGGAGGGGCCAGACUAGCAGUGACCCAGAUGUUCUGGAAUACUACAAGAAUGAUGGCUCCAAGAAGCCCCUGCGCACCAUCAACCUGAACCUCUGUGAGCAGCUGGAUGUUGAUGUGACUCUGAACUUCAACAAGAAGGAGAUUCAGAAGGGCUAUAUGUUUGACAUCAAGACCAGUGAGCGUACCUUUUACCUGGUGGCUGAGACCAGGGAGGACAUGAAUGAGUGGGUCCAGAGCAUCUGUCAGAUCUGUGGCUUCAGGCAGGAGGAAAGCACAGCUGAGCCCAGCUGCUCCCAUCAGCACCUCCCCCAAGAACAAGAACCCACAUCUGAGCCCCCGGUGUCUCACUGUGUGCCGCCCACCUGGCCCAUCCCUGCACCUCCGGGGUGUCUCCGCUCGCACCAGCACGCCAGCCAGAGAGCAGAACAUGCAAGCUUCCUCCGGCAAGUACACCCAGCAUGGUGGAGGGAAUGCCAGCCGGCCUGCUGAGUCCAUGCAUGAGGGAGUCUGUUCUUUCCUGGGCCAAGACAUCUGAUGUGAUCCUUGCCUUGAUCAGGGCCUGAGAUGCUGACCUGCCAGUGCCGAGUCAGGACUUGAGGUGGAUGAUGGGUCUCGAGGCCACAUCUGCAUGGUGCAUGGUCUGUGCUGCCUUCUGCCUGGGUCUGGUAUCCAGAAACCUGAGUGGACAUUGGGUGCUGAGCCACAUCUGCAUGGUGCAUGGCCUGUGCUGCCUUCUGCCUGGCUCCGGCAUCCGGAAACCCACGUGGACAUUGGGUGCUGAGCCACACCUGCAUGGUGCACGGCCUGUGCUGCCUUCUGCCUGGGCCCAGCAUCCAGAAACCUGAGUGGACCCAGCCACUAAAGAUAUUUUAUCCCAUAGAUUUGUCACAAAUUGUAGUUGGACCCCAAGGGGUCCUGAGAGCUAGAAGUGCCCAGACAUCUCAUUUUUUUCUUGCCUCUACUUUGAUUUCAGAGUCUUUCCAAGGUCACUCUGAUAGCUUCAAAGUGUAGCCCUCCCCAUGUAGUGAACUCUUAUAAUUGUAUGCUGCCUUGGCAUCCACAUCGAAUGGAGUUUUAACUUUCUCAGACCAGAGGCAGAGGACUUAGUCUCCCUGAUGGUUUCCAGUUCUACACCACACCCAUGUGGCUUCAGUCAGUGGCCAGAGAUGGGAAUUUAGACUUACCUCCCCCAUGCAGCAGACUGGGCUCGCCACUUUCUUGCUGCUCCCUUUAAAUGGACCAUCCAGGCAUUUACUCUGACCUUAAUUAAGUGAUCCCACACCCCAUUCUGCAAGAUACACUUCCAGUUGCCACCCUCUCUCCUCUUACUCCCUAACCUCCCAGGACCUGUAAGAACUGAAAACUCUUCCACUUUUACAUGUUGACUGUGUCAUGGAAGCUGCUCCAAAGUCUGACCCCUGAGGCUGCCCAGAGGGGCCCCAUCCAUGGGGUUCCUGGCUGGGGCACUUCUAUCUGGGCCGCAGGUGGCUGCUGAAGACAGCAGCCCCCAGCCAAGGUGAUCAAAAGUUUCGUUCAAAACACCCCGUCAUGACUCUUUUUGGCCUUGUCUAGAAAUUCUCAUUCCUAUCUUGUUCUUGCUGGUGAUAGCUGUGUUUCUUUCACUGUCCUCUUCCUAGCCAGGAAGAACGCUUGUGGGCCUGUCAGACAGCAUUGCUUCUGAGGGCAGCUGUGUGCCCAUGAACCCAGGCUCCCCUACCCUGCCGGCUGUGAAGCAAGCAGGCGAUGAUUCCCAGGGUGUCUGCAUCCCUGUGGGCUCAUGUCUUGUUCGCUUUGACCUGCUUGGCUCCCCACUCACAGAGCUUUCUAUGCACCAAGACCUCAGCCAGGGACAUGAGGUCCAGCUGCCCCCUGUCAACCGCAGCCUCAAGCCUAACCAGAAGGCCAACCCAACACCGCCCAACCUGAGAAACAACAGGGUCAUCAAUGAGCUCUCCUUCAAGCCACCUGUCACAGAGCCCUGGUCUGGGACCAGCCACACCUUUGACUCCAGCUCCUCCCAACACCCCAUCUCCACGCAGAGCAUCACCAACACAGACUCAGAAGACAGUGGAGAGAGGUAUCUUUUCCCGAACCCGGCAUCUGCAUUUCCUGUUUCCGGUGGCACCAGCAGUUCAGCCCCGCCGAGGAGCACUGGUAACAUCCACUACGCGGCCCUGGACUUCCAGCCGAGCAAGCCAUCCAUAGGCUCUGUCACGUCCGGCAAGAAGGUGGACUAUGUCCAGGUGGAUCUGGAGAAGACCCAGGCCCUGCAGAAGACCAUGCAUGAACAGAUGUGCCUGCGGCAGUCCUCAGAGCCUCCCAGGGGCGCCAAGCUGUGACUCGGGCCACCAAAACCAGAGUGGGGCCAGGACAGUGCCUCAGAGCUGCUCCGCCACACUCUAAAGCUCUGUAAUAUCAGGGACCGCAUCCCUUACAUAGAGAGCAGAGGCCUGAUCAAUAUACAUCCUUUGCCUGCUUGGGGCCCACCUGUGCCUUUGGCUGGCCAUGGUCCCCACCUUCACCCCCUUGCUAGGAGCAGUUGCCAGCAAGCAUCCUCAGUCUCUUCCUGCCCCUCAGACCCGGGCUCCCAACAGAUUUCCACUCUCACACUUACUCAUGGUCCUCAGCCUCUUCCUUCUAGCCUCUGGGCUGUUUCCCUCAAUCCUGGAACAUGAGGAGCUACCUUGCUGACCCGGGGACCCAAGGCCCACAGGCCACAGUGGACAUGGACCUUUUCAGCCCUGGCAUUUUUUGGUCAGGGGAGAGGCAAGGCCAUCAAACGUUGGAAUAGUUGAGAAGGAAGGUUAAAGGUGGUCUUGAGAAGCAAAGGAAUUAGAUCCUUAGACCAGCAGGGCAGCUGAUACCUGCAAGGGCUCCCACUUUCAGACUGAGGCCAGAGUAUGGCAGCUGCUCCCGGGUGGGAGAGGCAGAGAGGGAAGGGCAAAAGGAAGGGAAAACAUGAAGACGAACAGCCGAAAGCCACAAGAAGCAGGGCUGGAGCUCCAGAGACUGGGGUGACAAGGACCAGGGUCAGGGCCCCAGAAAUCCGGAGCUGCAGGCUGGCUCUGCUGCUCUUUGCUGAUGCCCCUUGGGGGGCCCUUGCCUGCCUAAGAAGGCUUGAUCUGAGCUGGGCAAA